CGGAGUGUAGCGCAGCCUGGUUAGCGCACCAGACUGGGGGUCUGGGGGUCGGCGGUUCGAAUCCGCCCACUCCGACCA
rnacentral:tRNA from 2 species